GUCCUGAGAGGAGAGCAGAAAAUGCCAGUUAGGUAAUUCCACUGCUGCUGCCCACACAGGCCAGAGAGUGUCUCCUGAGCCCAAACUCAAGGGGGAAGAAGGUGCAGCGAUGGCAGAAUCCUGAUAGCACGCAAGCCAGACAGAAGUCAGAAGACAGAUAAUCCAGAAAGCACACGGAUUAGGGUAGGAGGCGUGAUUUUAAAUCUCUUUCUCUGUUUUACUUUUAAGAACAUCAGCUUAGUUUAGCGGAGGAAGCCCUGAACGGACAGAAAGGAGACCUGGGUCUUUGAUUUCUGUGACAACCCUGAAGUGUGUCCUCGGACAAGUCUCUGUCCCUCUGGAGGCUCCAGUUACCUUUAUAUAUGUGUUAGGUUGGAUAAUGGCUCUCCACAGGACAUCCGUGUCCUAAUCCCUUCGCGUGCGAGUGUUAACCUGAGACAGCAAAAAAGGACUUUGCAGGUGUGAUUACAACAGGGAUCCUGAGAAGAGAAGUUAUUCUGGAUCACCCAGGAUCCCCUCAGCACACGGGUUCUCAAGCUUGUGCCCUGGAAUCACACGAAGACUAGUGAGCACACGGAUCCUGCGCCUCACCGUUGAGUUUUCAAUUAGGAAAACCUAGGAUGGCUUGGUGCAUAUGCAGCUCAGUAAGAAGAACGGAGUCUCUCCAUGUGCAGCUCAGAUGUGAGACGGAGCCCAUACAGGAUUGAAACAGCCCAGGUAGCUGCUGCUCUGAUUCCAGAAACUGAGCUGCCAUCUUAUUUCCUGUGCCCAGCACAAAAAGAAGUACCUACAGAGGUCAUAUUGGAGGUCUGAUUUCCAGGAGGCUCACGCACCUACUACCACUGUAAAUAAAAGCCUAUGGUUCUGGGUGAGGUCAACCCUUGAGCCUGUUAAUGCUGUUGCUAUUGUGUUUUUGUUUCUUCGCUUAAGUCUAUUUAGCCAGGAAUCCUGCUCACCAAUCGGAGGAUUAGAAUGUACCCCCAUUAGUGGGCAAAGGACCAAGCCCACUCGGCAAAAAGCAAUCAAGGAAACUUUCUUCAAACGUGUGUGUAUAAAAUGACUGGCCAGUUGAC